rnacentral:lncRNA from 1 species
UCGCUCUCGUUCCUAGUCUCCAUCUAGGGUCUACACCAGGGGAAUCCAUCAUCCAAUCAAACUUCCACAUAUCUUUGUUCUAUCUUCUUUAGAUUGCUGGUUUAACACCCAAGUUCGUGCAAGAUAUCGAUCCACCACUGAUAUCAGAGAGAUAUCAGGUUCUUAACACUCUUAACAGCAGAGUGUUCCAAAGUUGGUCAUGUUCAGUGAAAUAUACUCCUACAUUUCACCUGCAUGCCAUACUAGUGUCUCUAUGCUCUUUGGUGUCACACCCCCAAUCCGAGAUUAUGAAUCGAGGGUC